UACAACCAAACAAUGCUCGGCGAUCGCGGCAGCUGCUCUCCAAAUGUCAGCGCCAAGCCCGGCCAAAGGGCUGGAAGGCCACCGAGCCCAGGACUUUGUACGCUACCUUUGUCGCCCACAUUUUCCCCAAGCACUCUCAGGACCCUGGCAACAGGUAACGUGGCAACCUUUGCCUUCUAAAACGGCAAGCGGCAGGAUUUCAGAGAACAAAAGGAUUUUUUGAAAGCCAGCUGCAUCUCCCUCGCCACCCCCUCCCCCUCCCCCCCGCCCUCCCCCUUCGCCACACCAAGUCUGAGAAAACAAAGUAUUGCUGCGGCAGCCCGGCUCUCGAGCGCCCCCUUGUGACCAAGCUCGGAACAUCACCGAUGUACCUUUCAAGGUACAACUUCAGUCCGAGGCUCGGCUCCCAGGCCGAAUGCCAUCCACACAAAAGAGCUCCUGUCGACAUCUCAUUUACAAUCUACCCCCAGGACACAGACAGGACCAUUUCAAUAAACCCGGCUCAGAAACACCUAUUGUUCAAAAUCUUCAACUAGCCACAGGCUACCACCACUCCCUAUUGUUUUGUAAAAGAAGAGAUUUAGAAGGAGCCAGAUUGGGACCUGGAAGGUCUGAAAAGAGGAAGGAAAAAAGUCCCUUUGACCCGAUGCUGUUGGAGAACGUGCAUGAAGAAUAACGUUAAUGGAUUUUCAUUUUUACAAGAAGUGCAUAAGCAACGCCCGCUCCCUGCCUGAAGUAGUGAUCGGGGAUUCUAAAAGCGGUGCCAACUUUGUAAAGAAGUUAACUCCUGCCAUCGGGUUUGGCACCUGAAAAGUCAAAGGCUCUACUUACACUAUUCUCUGUCUUACAAAAGCCCUGAUGGCAGCCACAGCAAAGCACCAGCAGCUAGUAAGCCGGGUGUACCCCUGCUCCUGUGCAAAAGGCCUGUGAAACUCUGAAGCUAUACUUGUACACAGAUGUGAUCCAAUGAUGCCAUCUCAUCUCCAUGGCAACCAGGUGUCUCAGUUAUCUAGUCUGGUGCCAGGGCAUCGGAGACCUGCCGCCACUGUGCUGUUCCCCGGUCACUCAGUUCCAAAUUUAUGAGAUUGCCUCAGUCCCUUAGGUAUUUGUUCUCUGAAAGGUGUGGAAUUGUGCUGAGUACUUUUUACAUGUGAUCAUCAUUCCUUUUUGCCGAGUUGGAGACCCAGGUAAAGUUCAGAGCAGCUCGUAACCUGCCUGCAGCCAACGGCAUACUGCAAAGGUGGCUAAAACAAUAUUGUCCAUCCAGCAUGGUCUUCUAGAACAGGGGUCAGGAAAGUCCUAUAUAAAGAGCUGUACAGUAAAUAUUUUUGGUUUUGCAGACCAUGCAGUCUCUGUCCCAAACACUCAACUUUGACAUUGUGGCAAAGCCAGAGACAAUAUGUAAAUGCACGGACAUGGCUGCCUUGGAGAGGUGAGCCUGAUUUGUUCCAAGGGUCGUAAUUUGCCAACCCUGCUCUAGAACUUUGCCACUUCCCAUGGUGAGGUGGAGUCUGAUACCCCUCCCCUUGAACUUGGGGAAGUGUGUGAUUUGCUCGUGACCGAGAGAGUACGAAGGAACUGGCAGUGCAUGACCUCCAAGGCUAGACCAGAAAAGGUGAUGCUGUUUCUCCCUUAGUCCCUGGGACAUCUGCCUGCCUGGAGCCCUGAGCCACCACAGAAGCAUCCAAUUUUCCUGAGGCCGCCAUGCUGUAAGGAAGCCCAAGUCAGCCACGUGGAAAGACCACAUGAAGAAGCCUGGAGACUCUUAAGAAGAGGGAGAGGUGUUCAGCAGCCCCCAGUGAUCCAGCCCUCCACCCACCCAACUGCAAGCUCAGAAGAGACCCUGAGCCAGAACUACCCAGCCGAAGCUCUCCCCAAAUUCCUGCCCCAUAGAAACUGAGAAAUAAUAACACGAUUGCUGUGGUUUUAAGGCACUAAACAAAAAACUUAGAACACUGUCCCAAAACUAGUGAGUGGCAGAUAUGGGAUUCAAACCUAGGUUGGCUUGACAUUCUAUUACAUAAUCAUUAAUCAUUCUAUUACAUGAUUGCUUACAGCAGCCUUUUUAAAAAAUGGUGCUAAAAUAUAUGUAACAUAAAACUUACCAUGUUAACCAUCUUUAAGUGUACAAUUCCAUAAGUACAUUCACACUGUUGUGCAACA